UACAGAGGGUGCAAGCGUUAAUCGGAAUCACUGGGCGUAAAGCGCACGUAGGCGGAUCUUUAAGUCAGAGGUGAAAUCCCAAGGCUCAACCUUGGAACUGCCUUUGAUACUGGGGAUCUUGAGUCCGGGAGAGGUGAGUGGAACUGCGAGUGUAGAGGUGAAAUUCGUAGAUAUUCGCAAGAACACCAGUGGCGAAGGCGGCUCACUGGUCCGGGUACUGACGCUGAGGUGCGAAAGCGUGGGGAGCAAACGGGG
rnacentral:rRNA from 1 species